GGAAUCUUGCGCAAUGGGCGAAAGCCUGACGCAGCAACGCCGCGUGCGGGAAGAAGGCUUUCGGGCUGUAAACCGCUUUCAGUAGGAACGAAACUGACGGUACCUACAGAAGAAGGAGCGGCCAACUAUGUGCCAGCAGCCGCGGUGACACAUAGGCUCCAAGCGUUGUCCGGAUUUAUUGGGCGUAAAGAGCUCGUAGGCGGUUGAGUAAGUCGGGUGUGAAAACUUUGGGCUUAACCCAAAGAUGCCACUCGAUACUGUUCAACUUGAGUUUGGUAGGGGAGUGGGGAAUUCCUUGUGUAGCGGUGAAAUGCGCAGAUAUAAGGAGGAACACCGGUGGCGAAGGCGCCACUCUGGGCCAAUACUGACGCUGAGGAGCGAAAGCGUGGGGAGCAAACAGGAUUAGAUACCCUGGUAGUCCACGCGGUAAACGGUGGUCACUAGGUGUGGGUCUCUAACCAAUGAGAUCCGCGCCGUCGCUAACGCAUUAAGUGACCCGCCUGGGGAGUACGGUCGCAAGACUAAAACUCAAAGGAAUUGACGGA
rnacentral:rRNA from 1 species